GACGAACGCUGGCGGCGUGCUUAACACAUGCAAGUCGAACGGAAAGGCCCUGCUUUUGUUGUGUGCUCGAGUGGCUAACGUGUGAGUAACACGUGAGUAACCUGCCCUUGACUUUGGGAUAACUUCAGGAAACUGGGGCUAAUACCGGUUAUGAGCUCCUGCUGCAUGGUGGGGGUUGGAAAGUUUCGGCGGUUGGGGAUGGACUCGCGGCUUAUCAGCUUGUUGGUGGGGUAGUGGCUUACCAAGGCUUUGACGGGUAGCCGGCCGGAGAGGGUGACCGGCCACAUUGGGACUGAGAUACGGCCCAGACUCCUACGGGAGGCAGCAGUGGGGAAUAGUGCACAAUGGGCGGAAGCCUGAUGCAGCAACGCCGCGUGCGGGAUGACGGCCUUCGGGUUGUAAACCGCUUUCGCCUGUGACGAAGCGUGAGUGACGGUAAUGGGUAAAGAAGCACCGGCUAACUACGUG
rnacentral:rRNA from 1 species